rnacentral:rRNA from 1 species
GAUGAACGCUGGCGGCGUGCCUAAUACAUGCAAGUCGAGCGAACGGACGAGAAGCUUGCUUCUCUGAUGUUAGCGGCGGACGGGUGAGUAACACGUGGAUAACCUACCUAUAAGACUGGGAUAACUUCGGGAAACCGUAGCUAAUACCGGAUAAUAUUUUGAACCGCAUGGUUCAAAAGUGAAAGACGGUCUUGCUAUCACUUAUAGAUGGAUCCGCGCUGCAUUAGCUAGUUGGUAAGGUAACGGCUUACCAAGGCAACGAUGCAUAGCCGACCUGAGAGGGUGAUCGGCUACACUGGAACUGAGACACGGUCCAGACUCCUACGGGAGGCAGCAGUAGGGAAUCUUCCGCAAUGGGCGAAAGCCUGACGGAGCAACGCCGCGUGAGUGAUGAAGGUCUUCGGAUCGUAAAACUCUGUUAUUAGGGAAGAACAUAUGUGUAAGUAACUGUGCACAUCUUGACGGUACCUAAUCAGAAAGCCACGGCUAACUACGUG